AGACAAGAGUUGGGUGUACAGUACAGUGUAGCAGCUCCCAACCCCUGGUCCCCGGACCAGUACCAGUCUGUGGCCAGUAUCCUACCAGGCCACGGAACGCUGAGGGUUUUGUGAAGAGAGAGCUGCUGUACAUUUAUGGGAGACUACUGGAACUUCAGGAUCAGAGUGCAGGGCUGCAGACAAAGUGAAUCAGACUGCUGGAGAUGUCUUUGCAUCUGAAGGAGGAUCAGUGAUAAUUAACUGUAACUAUGAAACUGGCACAACCGGCAACUACUACCUCUUCUGGUACAUCCAAUAUCCCAAUGAGGCUCCGAAGUACAUGCUGAGAAGAGGGAAUUAUGAUAAAGGUGCUAUUGCUGAAGAGUAUGAGGAGAGAUUUGAUGCCAAUCUGGACACAACUGC